rnacentral:rRNA from 1 species
GUUGACGCUUCUCAUGGAUAAACUUCAGGUCUCGGAAUAAGGUCUGCUGGGCUGUGAUCUCCCUCAAGAUAGUGACAUAGUGACACGGAACGCCUGCUUCAAUAUUGGCCACCACUUCACUGCAAUCCGAAGCAACGCAAACUGAAUCCACAUGCAAGUCCAUUUGUUGUUGUCCAGGCCCAGUCAUCUUCUGAGCCCAUCGCACGUGACGGCCCAGCCUUAUCUUCUCUUGGACCGGCCGUCGUCCUCUACGAGUCCGUCGCCGCUCGGAGUGCCGUGCAGAGGCUGCCGAGGAAGCGACAGCCGAUGAAGGACCCGCGACGGUGGCGGCGGCGGAGCUAUCCCUUCCCUCUCGCGCCUCCUUUCGGCUUAAGUUUGAAACGUAGGCAUCAUGGGGCUGCUGCCGCUCGACGCCUCGACCGCCUCAUGUCCAAUCUCGUGGUAUGGUCCUCUCUCCCUCCGAGCUCCGAUCCCCUUCUCGUCCUCGCCGCUGGGAGACAGAAAGCCUGAGGUACUGAAAUCAUAACUGUCAAACAGAGCGGCAUUCAGUGCCAAAACUUGCAGAGCUACGCCAUAAGAUUUUGUUGCUAAAUGGUGGUUCGUCAAAUAACUUUUGCAUCGAUACGCUGUGCAGACCCCGGGAAAGAUGUUCCAUCGUGUAUUUCAUCAGAGUGUUGCCAGAUCUGGUACUCGUAAAACAUCUUCUCCCUCACCACGUUUCUACUCGUGGUCCUGAACUAACGUUUGAUUUUUAGUCGUAGCCAUUCAAUGUUUGAUUUUUAGUUCCAGCCCAUUCAACGAUGAGGUUGCUUUCACGUUGGAUAUGUGGCUCUGAAAGUAUCCCCACAAAGAAAAGAUGUGGCCCAGGCUUUGGCCACCCGCGAUGUAAAUAUUUUUGCCAAAGAAAAAAGACCACAUCCCAGCACAUCUAUCGUCUGAGCUCAAUCCCCAUCUCGGGCAACCUCCCCUACUGAAUCACCGCCUCCAGCUAUAUAUCUAUGCUCCAGACCGGUCUGAAUCGGCAUCCACGGUGGUCGAUUGACGCCGGCGAAGGCUGCACGGGUGGUCCAGAGGGAUACAUAAGGGAAGUAGCCGACUCUUGUGCUCCAAGAGGAAGCAGGAGACGGCGCAGCGACACCACGGUUCCUCUCCUCGAGAUUUCUUCGUCGUCUCAAGUCCAUGGCCUCCCUGCAUUGAAGAAGCCAAGAACCUGAUGCUGCUGCAUGCAUGCCUAACUUAUCAAGAGUAAUGCUCUUCAUAUCAUGGCAACUAAAUACUGGACUACUAGUAUCACCAGGCAACAACUCUGCUAUCUUCUCUUCAGUUGUUCUCAACGAGUAUAAGUAUCAACCCUCCACAUCCGGAACAGGGCCCUUCUUCGAGCAUAUAUAAGCACAACAAAUGAUCAUGCAGAAUUUGAACAUGCUGAGUUCCAUCGUUUUCCUACUUGUCUUCCCUAUCCUGCCCAUGGUUGUCGCCUACCCCUCCACUGCAGCUCCCUCAAAUCUCUGGAAAAUAUCUAGUAUGCAAACCAGAGUAGCCAUGUCAGGAAAUCCCAGUGCCCUUGUCAUUCUUGAGAGUGUCAGCACCUCAUACCGACUUCUUUUUGGCUUCUACACCAUGGACGGCAAUGCAUUCACUCUCUCUGUCUUGCUCAUGGGAGCCCAGCCUCCGGCCAUCUGGUCUGCUAACCCUGGUGAUCCCGUAAGCCAGGAUGCCAUGUUGAACUUCACCAGCGAUGGGAAUAUGCUGCUCAGCGACGGGGAUGGCACCGUUAUCUGGUCAACAGCCACAAAGAGCAGGUCAGUUGCAGGCUUGCGGCUAGAUGUUUCAGGAAACCUUGUGUUGUUUGAUCAGAAAAAUUCCUCUGUUUGGCAGUCGUUUCACCACCCAACAGAUACAUUGGUCCUGGGACAAUCGCUCUGCAGGGGCAUGAACAUAAGUGUAAAACCCUCCAAAACAAAAUGGCCAUCUGCUCGGAUUUAUCUUUCUGCAGAGUUUGGUGGACUGCAGUAUUCAUCUCAACCAGCAAACUAUUCACAAUCGUUCACUGAAGUUGCUAGCACCAAAUCAGACUGUUAUGCAUUUGUCAAUGGCAGCUUUGGGUUCCCAAAUCAGGUUUUCUGGCUGCCGCAAGCAAGAUCAUUGCAAUACAUGCGGUUAGAGUCCGAUGGACAUUUGAGGCUUUACGAGAUGCAGGGCUACUCUAGCCCGCGGCUUCGGUUUGAUGUAUUAAGCCUAGCCAUGAAAUUUUGUGACUACCCAUUCGCAUGCGGUGAUUAUGGUGUUUGCAGUGAUGGGCAGUGCUCUUGCCCUAGUUUGAGCUACUUUAGGUCAAACAAUGAACGUCAUCCAGAUGCUGGUUGCACACUCUUAACCACCAUCUCCUGCAACCGUGCGCACUACCAUCAGUUGCUACCACUCGGCAACGUUUCUUACUUCAGUGACAACAUGUUCCGGAAAUUGGCCAUUUCAAGUUCCUCAGAAGAGGUCUGCAAGCAAGCUUGCUUAAUAGAUUGUGCUUGCAGAGUUGCCAUUUUCCAGUAUUACGGAUCGAAUCAUUACAGUAAUGGUGGUAACUGCUUGUUGUUAUCAGAGGAAAAACUAAUUUCGCUGGCAGAAGGUUCGUCCGAUGGACUUUCAGCAUACAUCAAGAUACAAGGCACACGAUCAAUCAAAAAAAGGAUCACAGCUAUAGUUUGUUCAGUAAUUGCAGGUUUGUCUGCAUUAGGAAUCUUGUUCUCCGCCAUCAUAUGGAAAAUGUGCAAGAAAGAGGAAGAACAGCUCUUUGAUAGCAUACCCGGGACACCAAAGCGUUUCUCCUUUCACGAGUUGAAGGUAGCUACCAGCAACUUCUCUGUGAAGCUUGGAAGUGGUGGAUUUGGGUCAGUCUUCAAAGGAAAGAUAGGCAGGGAAACAAUCGCAGUCAAACGUUUGGAAAGUGUUCAGCAAGGAACCGAGGAGUUCUUAGCAGAGGUCAUGACAAUUGGGAGAAUGCAUGACCAUAAUCUUGUCAGGUUGAUAGGAUUUUGUGCAGAGAAGUCGCACAGGCUUCUUGUCUACGAGUACCUGUGCAACGGUUCAUUGGAUAAGUGGAUCUUUCAUGCAUGUUCAGUUUUCACUUUGUCAUGGAAAACUAGACGUAACAUCAUAAUUUCCAUAGCCAGAGGUUUGUCCUACCUCCAUGAAGAAUGCAAGGAAAAGAUCGCCCACUUGGACAUAAAGCCACAGAAUAUUCUCCUUGAUGAUAGGUUCAUCGCAAAGCUUUCUGAUUUUGGACUGUCCAAAAUGAUAAACUGGGACCAGAGCAAAAUUAUGACUCGGAUGCGAGGCACCCGUGGAUAUCUAGCUCCCGAAUGGCUUGGCUCAAAAAUCACUGAGAAGGCUGAUAUCUACAGCUUUGGUAUUGUAGUGGUGGAAAUCCUUUGUGGCCGAGAGAAUUUGGACGAAUCGCUGCCCGAGGAAAGCAUUCACCUGAUAAGUCUGCUCGAAGAAAAGGCAAGAUCUGGUCACCUGCUCGACUUAGUGGACAGUGGCAGCAAUGAUAUGCAAUGUCAUAUGGAGGAGGUCAUGGAAGCGAUGAGGCUUGCAAUGUGGUGCUUACAGGUUGACAGCAGCAGAAGGCCCUUGAUGUCAACGGUCGCAAAGGUGUUGGAAGGCGUGACGAGCUUGGAGGCUGCACCUGACUACAGCUUUGUCCCUAGUUUUGCAUCAAAUGGUGCUAGUAGUGCAGGGCCAACUUCUUCCUAUGUGCCAUCGGAAUCACAUUUAUCAGGGCCUAGAUGAAAGCUUACUUCAGCUUUCCAUAUCUGACUAUGAGGAUAGCUUUUGCUGUUUUGCAUCCUUCCAUUCUGCCAGAAAUCUUUUGUAAACAAUUUGGUGCAUCACUAUUCAUGAUUCAUGUAUUUUUACUAUGUAUCUCAAACAAACAUCUUGAGAAAUUAAGGCAAAAGACAGAUGGCAAGAUAUUCUAUUCAUUGCACAUUCUCACAAUAAUAAAUGAUAUUU